AUGAGGAAAAUCAGUCUGAAGACAUUCAGGAAAUCUUUUAACCCGAGGAAAAGCAAAGGUGAAACUGAGUUCAUGGUGGUUCAGCCCCAGUCCCUUGCUGGCGACUUGAUGAAAGAUGAGUCUUCAGGAGCUGCUAUGGCAAAGACAUGGCCAGUUGUGACAUUGGCAGCGAGGAUGAGAAAGGAAAGAGCAGGUCCAAAAGCGAGAACCUGGUGGACGCUUUGAAGAGGCAGUUGUCCGCCAAGCAGAAGACCAAGGGCAGGUGCCCCACUGCACCCUCAGAUGGGGACACCAUCUCCUCAGCUUCAGCUCCUGGUGGCCUCAAGGAUGUGCGUGCUCCACGGCCCGUCCGCUCCACAUCACCACCAUUAUACCUACACCCUGGCCGCUGCGUCCCACCAGCUUGGAGGAAACGUGCAUCAAGAUGGAGACGCAAGUGAAGGCAAGGAGCUGGUGCAUGCUGCUAGCCCAGGACCAGUCAACGGUGUGUGCAAAGAGCUGCGGGAGUUGCAACCCAGGGAGCUACUGCAGCCCAGAGAGCUUGGGAGUCCUGUUUCUUGCACU
rnacentral:lncRNA from 1 species